GGGACAAGAAGUUUCAAUGGUUUCUGGAUUAGGUGAAGGCACAUCCCGUAGAGCUCAUUGCCAGCUAGGUUCUCCCAUUACAAAGGUUAUUCUUAAUAUUCAUCCUACUGGAUUGUAAAUUCCUGUUUGAGCUUUCCGGUCUCCACAUGCGCGCUACUAUAAUAAUGUCUUCCAUGGCUGUAAUGACCAAACUGAUAUUGACGACGUAACGGUAACAUGCUGCUGAAU